GAACGUUCGCCUCACGACGCCAGGGUCGGGGUUAGAUUCCCGCGGAUCUGUGUGCGUGGAGUUUGCAUGUUCUCCCCGUGCUGCGGGGGUUUCCUCCCCCAGUCCAAAGACAUGCAUGGUAGGCUGAUUGGCGUGUCUAAAGUGUCUGUAGUGUAUGAAUGUGUGUGUGUGAUUGUGUACCCUGUCCAGGGUGUACCCCGCCUUGUGCCCGAUGCUCCCUGGGAUAGGCUCCAGGUUCCCCUGUGACCCUGAAAAGGAGUAAGCGGUUGAAGAUGGGGGGAUGGAUAAAUAAGACACUGGACAACUAUGGACAGGCCAAUCCGAUCAAAAGAAUACCAGUUCAUUGAGGGAACCAUGAAUGCCACCAUGUACUGUGACAUACUGAAGCACAGCAGGGCAGUAUUCCAGCAUGAUAACAACCCCAAACACACCUCCAAGACAACCACUGCCUUGCUAAAGAAGCUGAGGGUGAAGGUGAUGGACUAGCCAAGCAUGUCUCCAGACCUAAACCCUAUUGAGCAUCUGUGGGGCAUCCUCAAAUGGAAGGUGGAGCAGCACAAGGUCGCUAACAUCCACCAGCUCCAUGAUGUCGUCAUGGAGGAGUGGAAGAGGACUCCAGUAGCAACCUGUGAAGCUCUGGUGAACUCCAUGCCCAAGAGGGUUAAGUCAGUGCUGGAAAAUAAUGGUGGCCACACAAAAUAUUGACACUUUGGGCAAAUUUGGACAUUUUCACUUAGGGGUGUACUCACUUUUGUUGCCAGCGGUUUAGAAAGUAAUGGCUGUGGGUUGAGUUAUUUUGAGGGG